rnacentral:rRNA from 1 species
CUGGGCGUAAAGCGCGCGUAGGCGGAUAUUUAAGUCAGAUGUGAAAUCCCUGGGCUCAACCUAGGAACUGCAUUUGAUACUGGGUAUCUAGAGUAUGGUAGAGGUGAGUGGAAUUUCAGGUGUAGCGGUGAAAUGCGUAGAGAUCUGAAGGAACAUCAGUGGCGAAGGCGACUCACUGGGCCAUUACUGACGCUGAGGUGCGAAAGCGUGGGUAGCAAACAGGAUUAGAUACCCUGGUAGUCCACGCCCUAACGAUGUCAACUAGGUGUAUGGGAGUUUAACUCCUGUGUUCCAAGCUAACCCAA